rnacentral:rRNA from 1 species
GGUCAAGUAAUGAAGUGCACAUGGUGGAUGCCUUGGCAGUCAGAGGCGAUGAAAGACGUGAUAGCCUGCGAUAAGCGUCGGUGAGGUGGCAAUAUCCUGUGACCCGGCGAUUUCUGAAUGGGGAAACCCAACCAACACAAGUUGGUUAUUACACAGUUUACUGUGUAAGGCAAACCGGGAGAAGUGAAACAUCUCAGUACCCCGAGGAAAAGACAUCAAAUGAGAUUCCGUAAGUAGCGGCGAGCGAACACGGAGGAGCCGAUCAAUUUUACAGUAGCAAAAUGGCGUGGAAAAGCCAACCAUAGUAGGUGAUAGUCCUGUAUGCGAAACUGUUUAAGCGACAUAUUAAGUAGGGCGGAACACGAGAAAUUCUGUCUGAAGAUGGGGGACCAUCCUCCAAGGCUAAAUACUCCUGACUGACCGAUAGUGAACCAGUACCGUGAGGGAAAGGCGAAAAGAACCCCUGUUAGGGGAGUGAAAUAGAACCUGAAACCGUGUGCAUACAAGCAGUCGGAGCGGACUUGUUCCGUGACGGCGUACCUUUUGUAUAAUGGGUCAGCGACUUAUAUUCUGUAGCAAGGUUAACCGAAUAGGGGAGCCGUAGGGAAACCGAGUCUUAAUAGGGCGAAUGAGUUGCAGGGUAUAGACCCGAAACCGAGUGAUCUAUCCAUGAGCAGGUUGAAAGUGCCGUAACAGGCACCGGAGGACCGAACCCACUGUCGUUGAAAAGCCAGGGGAUGACUUGUGGAUAGGGGUGAAAGGCUAAUCAAACUCGGUGAUAGCUGGUUCUCCCCGAAAGCUAUUUAGGUAGCGCCUCGGACGAACACCAUUGGGGGUAGAGCACUGUUUCGGCUAGGGGGUCAUCCCGACUUACCAAACCGAUGCAAACUCCGAAUACCGAUGAGUGAUAUCCGGGAGACAGACGGCGGGUGCUAACGUCCGUCGUCAAGAGGGAAACAACCCAGACCGCCAGCUAAGGCCCCAAAUUCCUAGUUAAGUGGGAAACGAUGUGGGAAGGCACAGACAGCUAGGAGGUUGGCUUAGAAGCAGCCACCCUUUAAAGAAAGCGUAAUAGCUCACUAGUCGAGUCGGCCUGCGCGGAAGAUGUAACGGGGCUCAAACUAGGAGCCGAAGCUGCGGAUUUAAUUGUUUCAAUUAAGUGGUAGGGGAGCGUUGUGUAAGCCUGUGAAGGUGCACUGUAAGGUGUGCUGGAGGUAUCACAAGAGCGAAUGCUGACGUGAGUAACGACAAAACGGGUGAAAAGCCCGUUCGCCGGAAGACCAAGGGUUCCAGUCCAACGUUAAUCGGGGCUGGGUGAGUCGACCCCUAAGGCGAGGCCGAAAGGCGUAGUCGAUGGGAAAUCGGUUAAUAUUCCGAUACUUGUUUAUGAUGCGAUGGAGGGACGGAGAAGGUUAUGCCAGCCUGGCGAUGGUUGUCCAGGUGGAAGGAUGUAGUUAGACUGAGUAGGCAAAUCCGCUCGGUUAUUAAUGAGAUCUGAUAGCAAGCCAGUUUACUGGCGAAGUGGCAAAUACCCUGCUUCCAGGAAAAGCUUCUAAGCGAUAGUCAUAAACGAAUCGUACCCGAAACCGACACAGGUGGUCAGGUAGAGAAUACCAAGGCGCUUGAGAGAACUCUGCUGAAGGAACUAGGCAAAAUGGUACCGUAACUUCGGGAGAAGGUACGCUGCCGAUGGUGAUGAAACUUGCUUUCUGAGCUGUUGGCAGUCGCAGAUACCAGGCUGCUGCAACUGUUUAUUAAAAACACAGCACUCUGCAAACACGAAAGUGGACGUAUAGGGUGUGAUGCCUGCCCGGUGCUGGAAGGUUAAUUGAUGGGGUUAGCGUAAGCGAAGCUCUUGAUCGAAGCCCCAGUAAACGGCGGCCGUAACUAUAACGGUCCUAAGGUAGCGAAAUUCCUUGUCGGGUAAGUUCCGACCUGCACGAAUGGCAUAAUGAUGGCAGCGCUGUCUCCAGCAGAGACUCAGUGAAAUCGAAAUCGCAGUGAAGAUGCUGUGUACCCGCGGCUAGACGGAAAGACCCCGUGAACCUUUACUACAGCUUUACAUUGAACUUUGACCUAACUUGUGUAGGAUAGGUGGGAGGCUUUGAAGCAGAUACGCCAGUAUUUGUGGAGCCAACCUUGAAAUACCACCCUGGUUAUGUUGGGGUUCUAACUUAGAUAUAACAGUAUCAAGGACAAUGUAUGGUGGGUAGUUUGACUGGGGCGGUCUCCUCCUAAAGAGUAACGGAGGAGUACGAAGGUGCGCUCAGAACGGUCGGAAAUCGUUCAAAGAGUAUAAAGGCAAAAGCGCGCUUAACUGCGAGACCCACAAGUCGAGCAGGUACGAAAGUAGGUCUUAGUGAUCCGGUGGUUCUGUAUGGAAGGGCCAUCGCUCAACGGAUAAAAGGUACUCUGGGGAUAACAGGCUGAUACCGCCCAAGAGUUCAUAUCGACGGCGGUGUUUGGCACCUCGAUGUCGGCUCAUCUCAUCCUGGGGCUGAAGCAGGUCCCAAGGGUAUGGCUGUUCGCCAUUUAAAGAGGUACGCGAGCUGGGUUUAGAACGUCGUGAGACAGUUCGGUCCCUAUCUACCGUGGGCGUUGGAAAUUUGAGAGGAUCUGCUCCUAGUACGAGAGGACCAGAGUGGACGAACCUCUGGUGUUUCGGUUGUCACGCCAGUGGCAUUGCCGAGUAGCUACGUUCGGAUGGGAUAACCGCUGAAAGCAUCUAAGCGGGAAGCCCACCUCAAGAUGAGAUUUCCCUAAGAGCCGUUGUAGACUACGACGUUGAUAGGUUGGGUGUGGAAGUGUAGUGAUACAUGUAGCUAACCAAUACUAAUUGCUCGUUUGGCUUGACCAU